UAGUGUUACAGAUCUUUUAGAAUUUGUCUAGCAGGUUUUUUGGUCCUCACUGGACGACCCUAAAAAAACCAAU
rnacentral:snRNA from 1 species